CAUAUGUUGAAGAAUCCAUACAGCAUUAAGAAACAGCCUCUGCAUCAGUUUGUACGAAGACCACUUUCCCUACUACCUGCAGUCUUAUGUAGCACAGUGAGACACAUGUUUAUUCAAACACAAGAUACCCCAAAUCCCAACAGUUUAAAGUUUAUACCAGGAAAGCCAGUUCUUGAGGCAAGGACCAUGGAUUUUCCCACCCCAGCCGCAGCAUUUCGCUCCCCUCUGGCAAGGCGAUUAUUUAGAAUCGGAGGAGUAAAAAGUGUCUUCUUUGGAUCAGAUUUUAUUACUGUCACAAAGGAAAAUGAAGAAUUAGACUGGAAUUUAUUGAAACCAGAUAUGUAUGCAACAAUCAUGGACUUUUUGCAUCUGGCUUACUCCUUGUUACUGAGGAAACAUCUUUGGGAGAAGCAGGAUCUUAAGAAGAUGAUGAAGUUGUGGCAAUGAUUAAGGAAUUGUUAGAUACUAGAAUAUGGCCAACUGUGCAGGAAGAUGGAGGAGACGUAAUCUAUAAAGGCUUUGAAGAUGGCAUCGUACAGCUGAAACUUCAAGGUUCUUGUACCAGUUGCCCCAGUUCAAUCAUUACUUUGAAAACUGGAAUUCAGAACAUGCUACAGUUUUAUAUUCCCGAAGUAGAAGGUGUAGAAGAGGUUAUGGAUGAUGAAUCAGAUGAAAAAGCAGCAAACUCAACUUAAAAUAAUUUGGAUUUCUUUGGCCACAGGUCAGACUUGUUGAGAAUAUAUACCAAGCUUUUAUUAUUAAUAUGCUGAGGAAACUUGAGUAAUACAAUUUGUCCUUUCUUCAGAGAAUGAUAU